AACGAUCCUAUUGGCCACAGCCUCGCGCCUCUCCCUCGACCGUGAAAACCCUAUCCACCUCCACCCAGAGCCGCCAACUCCUCUCCCUCUCACCUCCCGAUUCAGAUCCAUGUCCAGCCUCCCACCACGCGCGGCUGCCGAUCUCCAGCGCCGCCGCGCCAACCAUCUCCUGCUCCACCUCCGUCUCCCACCCUCUCUCGCUCCGCCACCACCCCCACCCUCUCCGGCUCCCCCUCCCCAUGUGUAGCCUCCUCCGUUCCGCGAUGGGGCGGCCGUAGCGGCCCUCCUAGAUCUAUGUCAAGGGCAGCCCCCUGCUCAUCGUCAUGGGCGCGGUGGUCAUGAGGAAAGUGGUUGAGGACGGCGAGAUGGAAGUUGUAGCCUACCCGCUGCCCAGGACAAGGAUGGAUGCCCUGACGCUCCCCCUUCUUCACAAUCUCGCGCUGGGAGAGGAGGUGGUGGCCACUGUUUUCUUCGGCACACCUAGGCCUUAUCCACAUCGCCAUAGGUGACCUCGCCAGACUACUCGCUGUGAAGUUUACAGAUACAUCAUUGAGAUGGAUAGAAGUAUGAUGUAGAGUAUAUAUGAAACUGAAAAGAUGGGAUGCUUAAAGCUGGAAUAAAUCAUGGAGGGAAUCCUAUGCAGGAGUAACUAUAGUGGAUACUUCUACUAAAUCAGAAGAUUUAUUUGUUUUCUCCAUGGAAUAGUUUGACUAAAGUUUUAAUUAUUAUUCUGUACUUGGAGGAGAUAGCUGAAGUCGAGGGUGUUGUUGAUGACAUAAAAGGUGUUUAUAAAAUAGAGCCUUAUGAAGAACAAAGGAUACAAUACAGAAAGGCACUGUGGUUGUGAUUGUUAUGAUGGGAACGAUGUUCCUCAUGGUCCCAGUAAUGUUGUUAGUAUGGAAGAGACACUGGAUCCUUGUUGUCACAUUCCUUGAGCUCUCGUUGAUGGAGGAUAAAUGGAAAUAAGUCAUCAUCUAGUGGAGACAGAGAUAACAAGUACAGACAAACUACAGGGUACCAAGUAGAGACAAACCGCAGGGUACAAGUACAGACACUGUGGUAUGUUGCUGUCCAUCAGAAUCGCCAUGCCAUAUAGUUGCCAUCAGGAGGGUUGACGACAAGAACACGAGUGACAACCUUUGUAGUUAUAUGUUUUGUUGAUGUAAAUUGGAUUGUACCGGUUCCUAAUCCUAUGGAUGGUUGCAUAUUGAGUGAUUUUGUCAAUAUAUGGUGUAUAUUAUCAUUUCAUGGAGGAUAUUA